UACAGAGGGGGCUAGCGUUGUUCGGAAUUACUGGGCGUAAAGGGCGCGUAGGCGGCCCGCUAAGUCGAACGUGAAAUCCCCGGGCCAACCCGGGAACUGCGUCCGAUACUGGCAGGCUUGAAUCCGGGAGAGGGAUGUGGAAUUCCAGGUGUAGCGGUGAAAUGCGUAGAUAUCUGGAGGAACACCGGUGGCGAAGGCGGCAUCCUGGACCGGUAGUUGACGCUGAGGCGCGAAAGCCAGGGGA
rnacentral:rRNA from 1 species